CGGCCUAGAUGAAGUCCGGCUCAAUGGCCCAAUGGACUACCUUACCUGAUAUGGCCUGGAUCCAACGGCCGAGUAAGCCUCACGCCCAAUCCGGUUAGGCCAAACGGCCGAUAGGACCUUGCGACUCUUACCCUGGCUUAGACGAACCGUGUACUUGUCUCGACGGACAAGACAUGGUCUGAUCCGUAAGGAACGGACACGACCUGUCUCAACAGGCACCAUCUGGAACAUGCACCCCUUCGGUCCUUGGUACCUCUUGGUCCUCGAACCUCUUGGUCCUCGUACCUCUUGGCGUCCGUAACCCUUGGUUACUUACACCCUUUGGAAACUCACAACCUUUGGAACUCGUGACCUUUGGUAACUCACAACCCUUGGUAACUCGUGACCUUUGGCCACUCGUGCGUCUUGGGACAUGACCAACCGUUUAGCCCAACCGCCCAGUCUAUGGUGCGAUUUGAACCGACCAUCUAACCGACCAGCGUCUAGGUUAGCGGUUUGGUUAUGACUGGCCAAGUCUAGGGAUGUGUCCCUUGGACUGAACCAACACAACCCUUCGUGUAUAAUCAGAAAGAAGAGAAAGGGGCCGGAUAGGAACAAGAAGAGGAGAAGCGGUUCGGGCUAAUGGACCGACCAGACCGUCUGUUCGGUCUGAUGGAGCCAUAGCCCACCACGUACCUUAUAAACCGUGUCAGGGUUGUCCAUGCUCUUCUCCUGCUCUCGGUCUCCCAUACUUGAUCGGAGGUUGCUUCACAAACGAUCAGAUCGCCGGAAACCUAACCACCACACAAUCAGCCUUGCUUUGGCCGGAAACUAUCUCUCUCUUUCUUUUUCUCUCUCUACGAUUUCUCUAGUAUUUUACUCUGGAAUUGGAUGAUUGAAAUCGACAGAGAGGACCCCAUAUUUAUAGAAAACGAGGGGGUAAGUCUUGCCCCACGAACAGGCAUGACUGGCCAGCGGAUGGGCACAAUCGGCCAAGGGUUACACCCUCUCGGCCGCAUGUGUCCUUUCGCCAAUACCGCAUGGGUUUGGGUCGGACAGAGGCCCAAGGCCUUACCCAAUCCCUCUGGACUUAGCCCAUUGCCUUGUCCCAAGCCCAAUGGUCCAUGGCCGGACCCCCAUGGCCCGCCACCGGCACGGACCCGGACCAUCGGACCGAAACCCGAACAGUCCGUCCAGCUGAGAUGAGCUGACUCCCAGCUGCCUCAGCUGAGUGAGCCAGUAGUUCAGCUAGUGGAGCUGACUUAGUAGUGGCCGAGCUGGAGUGAGCUUAACCUAACUCCGUUGAGCUGGUCGAGCUACUUGUUCCAUCCGUCCCGCUACCGUCUUACUCGUCCUAGCUGACCCUCGACUUGUAUAAGGUUAGCCUUCUUAUCUGGCCAUGGAACGCUUGUCUUGAUGUCCUAAGACUGACUAGUACGUUUCCUCGAACCAUGGCCAUCCCAAUGAUCCUAUUCAGGAUCCGGGAUGUUACAAGUCUCCCCUACUAGCAAUGGAUUCGUCCUCGAAUCCGAGUCAUGUGGUUCAUCCAACACAAACUGGUCAAACCAUUUUGGAAACUCGGCCUUCAUCCUGCUCUCCGUCUCCCAAGUGGUCUCUUCUCGACCAUUACAAUCCCAAAUGACGUUGACCAUCUGGAUUAUUUUCUUUCUCAUUGAUUUUUCCAUCCUAUCUACGAUCGGAACCGGCCUUGUUUCCAAAGUUUGAUUCGUACCUAGAUCAGAUGGUAUUUCUUGUAUUAUGACGUCCUGAUCCGUCAAGCACUUCCGGAGUUGGGAGACAUGGAAUACGUUAUGGAAGGCUUCCAUCUCGAAUGGUAAGUCCAACUUAUAUGCCACACUACCCACUCGUUCUAUGACUCUGAACGGACCUAGGUAUCUUGGAUCUAAUUUCCUUCUACCAGAAAUUCGCACUCUACCUUUAAAGGUAAUCAUUUUGAGAUAUACCAUAUCACCCACUGCAAACUCCAAUUCUUUCGUUCGUUUGUCAGCGAAAUGUUUUUGUCUGUCCUGUGCGGCCCUCAUCUUGUCCCGCACGGACUUGAUCUUCUCCGUGGUUUCCCUCCACGAUUUCGGGGCCUAUCAUGCUGCGCUCCCCCACUUGGGUCCAGCAUAACGGUGUCCUGCAUGGUCGUCCAUACAAAGCUUCGUAUGGCGACAUGCCUGUACUGGAGUGGAAGCUGUUAUUAUAGCCGAACUCCACUAACGGCAAAUGCCGUUCCCAGGAAUCACCCCAAUCGAGAACACAUGCUCGAAGCAUAUCCUCCAGCGUCCGUAUAGUUCUUUCCGACUGCCCAUCCGUUUGGGGAUGAUAAGUCGUACUCAUGUUCAUUCUUGUUCCUAAAGCUUUCUGAAAAGCUUGCCAAAAGUGAGAAGUGAACCUCGAAUCUCUAUCUAAAACUAUACUUGAGGGUACCCCGUGUAGCCUCACAAUCUCGUCAAUGUACUUACUCCCAAUCCGGUCGACUCCAUCAGUCUUUUUGAUGGCCAGGAAGUGGGCAGACUUGGUCAGCCGAUCCACUAUUACCCAGACAGCAUCAUUCCUAUUCCUGGUCGUGGGAAAUCCUGUCACGAAAUCCAUCGUGUUGUGAUCCCACUUCCAUUCCGGAAUAGGUAGGCUCUGAAGCAGUCCACUCGGAACUUGUUGUUCGGCCUUGACGAGUUGACAAGUAGGACACUUGGCCACCCAUUCGGCCAUAUCGACCUUUAUCCGUAUCCAAUGAUAGUAUUGUUUGAGAUUAUGAUACAUCUUGGUCACUCCAGGAUGGAUCGAGAAUCUAGACUUGUGAGCUUCCCUAAGGAUCUCGUCCUUUAAACUCGUAUCAUUGGGUACGCUGAUCCGACCAUUGUUGAGGUCAAAAACGGUUACGACGGAAUUAUCACCCGAAAACCCUCGGAAAUCACAUUUCCGAAAGAGAUAGUAAAAAGAAAGAUAUAAUUUUCGUAAAAAAUAACCGAUACGAAGUUUUUACGAAGAAGUAUCCUUGAAGAUUCAAAGCAAACGAACCAAGCUCGGUCGUUGCGUAACUACCGCACAUACACGCUGACCGGUCGUUACGUAGCAACCAAGCUUGAGCCAAAGCUUGGUCGCUACGUAGCGACCGAGCGAUCAUCCCGCUCGGUCGCUAUGUAGCGACCAAGCUCAAGCCAAAGCUCGGUCACUACAUAGUGACCGAGCGUUCAUCCCACUUGGUCGCUACGUAGCGACCGAGCGCUUGUCCCGCUCGGUCGCUACAUAGCGACCGAGCUCGAGCCGAAGCUCGGUCGCUACAUAGUGACCGAGCGUCCGUUUCGCUUGGUCGCUACGUAGCGACUGAGCACUCGUUCCGCUCGGUCGCUAUGCAGCGACCUGGCUCGAGCCAAAGUUCGGUCGCUGUGUAGCGAUCGAGCUCUUCUGAAACGUCGAUACGACACCAGUCCAUGCACUCUCGUCGAACCUUCAAAUGCUAUCUCCCGAAGACCGUAGCAAGCUCAGUCUAUGUUUUCCGUUAUUCUAAAUCCUCGAUCAAGCUUUGCGGAUUAAAACCGCAGAAAGUUCGUUCUUUAUCGAAAGAAAUCGCAGUAAACGUGUCGAGUCGGAAGACGGCCCAAAGGGACCUGAAACACUACUCGAGGUCCAUCCUACGAUUUCUUAACCAAAAGCCCGUAAACCACAGCACGGUUUACGCUUGGUCCACAAGGAAGAAUAAAUGUCAAGUUUCCGCGGAUAAAUGCGGAAGUUUUGAAGAUAAAUGUGAAGAUCGGGAAAAAUGGAAUAUCUAUAUUUUUAUGCUAUGACGGCUUAAGGGCAGAAGAGUAAAAGCGUAAACCAACCUUGGAGCUAGUAUAUAAGGAGUCCUAGGCGAGGAGCAUAUGGGGAGAACUUUUUCAGAGAAAAAUUAGCACUUAGAGCAAUUUACGCAUUUUUCCGUUUUUGUUAUUUCGAGCUGCGAGUCAAUUAGGUUUAGCCGUCUUAGGGUUGAUAGAACUAGGAAUCUCGCCUACAGCUCUCGAGCCCAGGCUUAUACCUUGUUAUAAAUGCUCAUACGCAAAUUCGGAAUAAGAUCUUCUUUGCUCUCUUUUUCGAUUACUUAUCUUUAUCAUUGUUAUUCUCGUGUUCUGAUUGCUUGACGUGUGGUAAUUAACAGAUAUCCGGGUCCUCUGGGAAAUUAGGGUUUUCCUAGUUUCCUUAUUUAAACAGAAAUCGACAGUGCGAAUUUCGGUUCCCACAGUUUGGCGCUAGACGGAGGGGGAUAACAGAUCAAUCUAACCCGCAAAAGCCACAUCACGCUCAAUCAGACAUGUCAACUAACGAUGUGGAUAACAUGCAGACUCCUCUUAGCGGAGGCAGCGGUACCGAUCUCCACACUCCAGCAGCGGACAUAUCCGCGGCCAACGCACAAGCCAACGCCGUGACGCUCGAGGAGUUUAAAAAGUUGUUCGCCACCUAUGAGAAAAGGUCGGAAGAACAGGAUAAGCUCGUGAAUACGUUGACCAAGCACGUUGAAAUCCCUCCCCGCGGAACCACCAAAAUCCGCGGGAAGAGGCUCGACUUCGCUACCCCACUCGACAGAUCUGGAGUCGCGCGGGAACGACCUUCCGGUCAAAACUCUAGCGAGAAAUCUCCCAUCGAAAAGGGGAACCCUGAAAGUCUUCCGCCCCCUGCAAAGGACUCGGAGGAUAACGAAGCCGAACGCAUUGACCUAGAUCCUAGCGAUGUCUCCAACGACACCGACGAGGACGUCGACAUACAUCCAAGAAGGACCAGGAGCCGAUCUGCUCGGGAAGGCUCCCCGUUCGAAAACCAAUGACGGAAGAAGAUGAAAUCGCCUAUUGGAACGAACAAGAGGAGCUGGCUGAAAGGCAAACCGAGCUCACUCACAGUAAACGCCGACAGGCUCGGAAAUCUACUGACGAGACAUCAGAUAUCCACGAUCUUCGAGACUACAUCACCAAGACUGCGGUGGAACUGAGGGCCGUAAACUCUCAAAUCCAUCAUGCUACUAGUGCUGCCCCCGAAAUCGAUCGAUUGCUGGAAGGAGCUCGAAAGACCCCUGUGGGAACCAAAAUUCGCACUGUCGAUUUCCAUUUAAAUAAGGAAACUAGGAAAACCCUAAUUUCCCAGAGGACCCGGAUAUCUGCUAAUUACCACACGUCAAGCAAUCAGAACACGAGAGUAACAACGAUAAAGAAUAAGAAAUCGAAAAAGAGAGCAAAGAAGAUCUUAUUCCGAAUUUGCGUAUGAGCGUUUACAACACGGUAUAAGCCUGGGCUCGAGAGCUGUCGGCGAGAUUCCUAGUUCUAGCAACCCAAAGACGGCUAAACCUAAUUGAGUCGCAGCGCGAAAUAACAAAAACGGAAAAUUGCCUAAAUUGCUCUAAGUGCUAAGUUUGCUCUGAAAAAAAGUUCUCCCUCAUGCUCCUCGCCUAGGUCCUUAUAUACUAGCUCCAAGGUCGGUUUACGCUUUUACUCUUCUGCCCUUAAGCCGUCAUAGCAUAAAAAUGGAGAUAUUCAAUUUUUCCCGAUCUUCACAAUUAUCUUCAAAACUUCCGUAUUUAUCCGCGAAAACUUGACAUUUAUCCUUCCUUGUGGGCCAAGCGUAAACCGUGCUGCAGUUUACGGGUUUUAGGUUAAGAAAUCAUAGGAUGGGCCUCGAGUCGUGUUUUAGGUCCCUUUGGGUCGUUUUCCGACUCGACACAUUUACUACGAAUUUUCCGCGGUUUCUCAUCCGCGAAGCUUGAUCGAUGAAUUGGAAUAGCGGAAAACAUGGUCUGAGCUUGCUACGGUCUUCGGGAGAUAGCGUUCGAAGAUUUGACGAGAAUGCAUGGAUUGAUGUCUAUCGAUGUCCGGAAGAGUUCAAUCGCUACACAGCGACCGAACUUCGGCUCGAGCCCGGUCGCUACACAGCGACCGAGCAGGACGAGCGCUCGGUCGCUACGUAGCGACCGAGCUUUGGCUUGAGCUCGGUCGCUACGUAGCGACCGAGCGGGACGAUCGCUCAGUCGCUACGUAGCAACCGAGCGGGACGAUCGCUCGGUCGUUACGUAGCGACCGAGCUUUGGCUCGUGCUCGGUCACUACGUAGCGACUGAGCGGGAUGAUCGCUCGGUCGCUAUGUAGCAACCGAGCUUGGCCGAGCUCGGUCGCUACGUAACGACCGAGCGAGACGAUCGCUCGGUUGCUACGUAGCGACCGAGCGGGAUGAUCGCUCGGUCGCUACGUAGCGACCGAGCUUUCGUCGGACAUCUCGAUUCUUUCUUCCGUAAAGCUUUUUCGUAAGGAAGAAUCUAUUUCGAAAAGUACUCUUCGGAGGAAGUCUUAUUUUCUUCCUCGGACGUUUUUAAUGUUAAAUUUGUCGUAACCGUUUUUUACCCCAACAGUUAGCCCCCAAGCCCGUUAGAAUUAUGACUCUAGCGGGCGGAUAGAUGACUUUGACAAGUUUAAGUGUGUCGGACGAAAUUCACAUUUUAAACUCCGCGGAAAAAAGUUGUCGAGACGAUAUUCCGAACCCAUACUUCUAUAAGUAGUGAGCUCUUGUCAUUCAUUUUCUUCACACCUUCCCUUCUUCAUUCCUUCAAAAACCUCUCUAGUUUCAUAAUUUCCCUUUCAACAUGUCUUCCUCCCAAGGUGACAAGAAGAAUUCCGACAUCGAGAUGGGCGAGGCCACUUCUCCGGCUCCGGUUCUAACUUCUCCGGCGGAAGCGCCGGCUUGUGUUGCCGGUCAUAUUUCUUUCCGAGAGAAACUAGUUCAUCGCCAAGCCGAGAAAGAGCUAGCUCAAGCUGGCUCCGAGUUUCCGUCUUCUUCCGCGCAGGUCGUUGCCCCAUGUCAUGGGACAGAAGUCAUGGCUCCUCUCUCGCAAGCCCUUCCUGCGGGAUCUUCCACGACUCCGAUCCUCGUCGAGGACAAGGAGAAAGCUGCUGAUCCUAUGCCUCCUCCUCCAGCCAGAAAGGAAAUCGUUCUGGCAUUGCGUGCUCCUAGCGCUGUCCUGGAUAUUCAGCCUAAGAGUCGGAAGAGGAAACUCGCCAAGAGUGGCGAUGGGGAGACUUCGCAGCAAGGUGGAUCGAGCCUAGCCUCGGGACUUUGCGGAAAGGUUUGUCUCUUGUUUGAAUUCUCGAUCGUCUUUCGUGCAUUCUUUUCUCGGACUUAGUCUUAAGAAUUUUCACCGUUCGCAGUUCAUAUCGUUGAUCGAUGGGAUGAUCAGCGAAUGUGGUUCUGAGACCAGUCGCCUUUCCGGGGAGUUGGUGGAGCUUCAGGGCAGAUGGUCCGAAACCGACGCCAUGUUGACGGCUGUCGAGGACUCUCACUCUGCGAAAGUGUCGAAGCUCGAAGUUGCGAUAGGAGAGCUUGAGAGGGACCUUGGGAAGACGGCGAGUUCCUUGUUUAAGGAAAAGAAGGCCAGGAAGGCCAAAUCCUCGGAGGUGCGUCGACUCCAGCGUCAGAUCAAGAGUGACGCGGGACUAGCGCGCCGCAGGAUCCGAGAGGCUACGGAUGCUCUUCGUACGGAGUUUCAAGCUCACUUGGCGAAGAUUUAUGCUUCUCUAGGUUCCCUCGAGUGUAUCCGGAGCAGGGAUUUCGCUUUGGCGACGAUUGAGGGCGGGAUGGCCGUGGUUCGGUCGUUCCAAAGUGAGACUCCCCCGACCUUGGAGGCCGAAGAGGCACGACUGUCCGGCUGCAAGGGAGAUAUGGCGGCCGAGGAUGGAGAUUUCGGUCUCAUCCUGGCCGACCUGAAAUCCGCGUGCUUCCUUCUGACGUGUUCAGAAGACCCAGAGGGGAAAGACCCGAUGGUCGGAGAGAACAGAAGCGGCGCGGCUCCAGGCUCGGACGAGGCAGCGGGUGAAGAGGGGGCGUAAGUUCUGAAGGUGACUUGGGUUAGAUCUCUUGCGAGAGAUUUUUUUUAUGUUUUUAUGUUUCGGCCUUGAAUGGCCUUGUUUGUAUUUCGGGACUGGCCGUGUGUGGCUUUGAAUCCCUGCCGCUCCGCGGCUUUCUUUUUAUAGUACGAUAAUCGGAUAACGCUUUUUUAUGAGAUUGUGAAUAGUGGGGAGGAAGGUAAUGAGUUGUCGUCUCAUAUCCUUCUUCGAUUGUGAAAUGUUUCAUUCGAGAUCUGUUUCGAGAGUUCUUCCGCGAGAUGUGAACUCUGCGGGGGUGCUGAAGGUGUCGAACAUAAACAUAGAGGCAUGGUUUAAGAAUCUAUUAUCUUUCGAUAUCAUGUCUUUGAGAUGUUAGAGACCAGUGCGCUGGGUUUAGGGCAAGACCUAGGUUUACUUUCGGUUUAAGGAUUGUGCGGUGACUAACCGGCUAUCGUUUUUCUUGUCGCGAUUUCUUCCUGAUUCGUAUCGAUGUAAAGUCCGCGAUAGGUUCUCGGCUUAUAUGACUUGUUUGAUACGAACCGAGCAUCUCUCCGGAGACCGGAGGUGCUAGACCAAAAUUUCGGAUUUCUUUUAUAGCGCUAUUAUCCUUGUGUCGGAUGUAAGAGAGUCAUCUCCGUGAGAUGGCUAUGUCUGUUUAGGACGUUUGUGAGUUCGAUGUGAUCAGCAUCGGACUUGGUGGCGCGUGCCGUUGUUUUGAAUAUUUUGUGCAAAAUAAGUGUUAGUGUGUGCAUAUAUAUAUGCCUUUUUUGUGACGGAGGUUUCGUUCGCUCGAAAAAAAUAAACUUUGAGGCAUCUUUUGCGACGUCUCGUGAUGCUAAAGGUUGCUUCUCCUAAGCGGGCGACUAAUUUCCGAAGACCUCGUUCUGAUUUUACGGGUGAGGAUGUUUUGAUAAGUCGAAAACACCAAAAGCCUGGUAAGAAGUUUUUCGAUUUUUUGGGAGUAUACGAGUAUACGUACCCACUCUCCCCCUUUUUUAAUAAGGGGGGACAGCUGAAUUUGCCUUUCGACAAACUGCCUAUGUACUCCUUGCGGAGAUCAAGCCGUCUCGUAGUUCAGCAUUUGCGAGUUGGUUUGUUUAGUGAUAGUAUUUUUUGAGAUGCAUCGCCUUCCAGGUUCUAGGGAUUUUUAUGCCCUGCAUGUUGGCUAUUUCGUAAGAACCUGGUCGGAUGACUUUUUCGAUUUUAUAGGGACCUUCCCAGUUUGCUCCGAGUUUUCCCGCGUUUCGUUCAGCGGUGUUUUGGAAGACUUUGCGAAGGACCAGAUCUCCCUGAUUGAACCUAUGAUUCCGUACGUUGGAAUUAUAGUAUCUUGCAGCGGCGUGCUGGUAGUUUUGAAUUCGGAUGAGCGCUCGAUCUCGGUGCUCGUUAAUGAGGUCGAGAUCAUCCAAGAGCAUAGCAUCGUUGAAUUCCUCUCGUUCGGGUAAGAACCUUCUUCGAACACCGGGAAAUUCUACUUCUGCGGGAAUCAUGCAUUCCGUGCCGUAUACCAGGGCGAAGGGAGUUUCUCCCGUUGCUCGCCUUGGGGUGGUACGGUGAGACCAAAGGACUCCCUCGAGUUCGUCGGCCCAUCUGCCUUUUUUGGCCUCUAAGCGUUUCUUCAGUCCGUCGAGAAUGGUCUUGUUGAUUGUUUCAGCCUGUCCGUUGCACUGCGGAUAUCUGGGAGUUGACUUGUUGAGUCGUAUCUUCCAUUUUUCGCAGAAUGCCUCGAAUCGGGUGGAAAUAAAAUGAGACCCGUUAUCGGUUACGAUUUCGUAAGGAACUCCAUGCCUACAGAUGAUGUUUUUCCAUACGAAAUUCUCGACUUGGACGUCUUUUAUACUUGCGUACGAGUCCGCCUCUACCCAUUUUGAGAAAAAAUCAGUAAGGACUAGAAGGAAACGCUUUUGCUUUGAAUUAUGCAGAGGUCCGACAAUAUCCAUGGCCCAGUGCAUAAAGGGAUAAGGCGAUGUGAUGGAGGAAAGAACUUCAGCCGGUUGUCGGAUAGUUGGCGCAUGCCUUUGGCAUUUUUCGCAUUUUCGUGCGAAUUUCUCGCAAUCUCCGAUCAUUGUUGGCCAAUAGUAUCCAUGGUGUUUGAUUUUCACGGCUAGUGAUCUUCCGCCGGAAUGGUUGCCGCAGGAGCCGGAAUGUAUUUCCUCCAUUACUUUCCUCGCCUUUUCUCCUUCCAGGCACGUCAAGAGUGGUCCGGAGAAUCUCCCUUUGUAGAUUUCACCGUCCACUGUUACGUAGCGUGCGGCCUGUGUUCGGACCUUGCGAGCCGCCCAUUUUUCGGCGGGCAGUUGCCCGGUCGACAAUGUAGUCUCGUAUCAUCUGAAGCCAUGGGGUAUCACAGCCGUAAUCAGAUUGCUCCGAUGGUGGUGGUAUCGUAAUUUCUUCUUCCUCGUCGUCUUGACCCUCUAUGAGAUUGACGAUGACUGGCGAUCCGAUACUCGGAUGUUCGAUGAAUUCGACCGGAAUUACCAUUUUGAGUCCUGGAUCGGAACUUGAUGCUAGGGCCGCGAGGGCGUCCGCCUGGACAUUCUCGGAACAGGGGAUUCGGGUAAGGGCGAAACAGUCGAAGUCUUGAACUAGACCUUGGACCAGUUUGAGGUACGCGUCCAUCCGUUCGUCUCUGGCUUCAUACUCUCCGCUGAAUUGACUGGCCACUAACUGGGAGUCGCAGUUAGCGUGGAGAUUACGUAUUUUUAAGCCGUGAGCCAAACGUAGACCUGCGAUUAAUGCUUCGUAUUCGGCCUCGUUGUUUGAGGCAUGGAAUUCCAGCCUGAACGAUUGUUCCAAAAUCUCGCUCGUUGGAGAUGUGAGACGGAUCCCGAUACCUGAUCCUUGCUUGGAUGAGGAUCCGUCGACGUGGAGGAGCCAGGUGGAAUUUGGUUCUUCAUUGGUUAUUGUUCCCGUUGGAAAUUCGACCAAGAAGUCUGCGAGCACUUGUGAUUUUGCGCUCGUCCUUGGUCGGUAUUCGAUGUCAUACUCGCUCAACUCGACCGCCCACUUAGCCUGUCGGCCUGAUUGACUUGGGCUAUGCACAAUUGUUCGUAAGGGAAAAGUCGUGAGGAUGAUGAUUGUGUGGGAUUGGAAAUAUGGUCUUAGUUUUCGGGCCGAUGUUACAACCGCGCAUGCCAAUUUUUCCAUCAAUGGAUACCUAGAUUCGGCAUCCAGCAAGGUUUUGCUUAUGUAAAAAAUAGGUUUCUGCUCCCCGCGUUCUUCCCUGAUCAGGACUCCGCUUACGACCGUUGCUGACACCGCGAUGUAAAAGAAUAAAGGCUCCCCUUCCACGGGUUUUGCAAGGACUGGAGGACUAGCUAAAUAACGCUUCAGCUGUUGGAAGGCGUUUUCGCACUCUUCCGACCAUUCGAAUUUUUAUUUCCUCGCAGGACGUCGUAGAAGGGCAGGCACUUAUCUGUUGAUCGUGAAAUAAAUCGGUUAAGUGCUGCGAUUCUGCCGGUCAGUCUUUGGACUUCCCGUUUAUUCUUUGGUGAAGCCAUCUCGAUUAGAGCGUUGAUCUGUUUUGGAUUUGCUUCGAUGCCGCAGUAUGUGACCAAGUAGCCGAGGAAUUCCCCUGAUGCCGCGGCGAAUCUACAUUUUGUCGGGCUGAGCUUCAUGUUAUGGGAAUUUAGUUGUGCAAAGCAUUCUUCGAGAUGUGACACGUGAUCUCUUGCUUUGAGGGAUUUGACGAGCAUGUCGUCGAUAUAAACCUCCAUCGUUUUUCCGAGUUGUUUGGAGAACAUUCGGUUCACGAGUCGUUGGUAAGUUGCACCAGCGUUUUUGAGGCCGAAGGGCAUUACCUUGUAGCAAUAAGUUCCGCGAUCGGUAAAGAACGCCGUCUUUCCACGAUCGUCGGGAUUCAUCCUAAUUUGAUUAUAACCUGAGAAGGCAUCCAUGAAGGAUAAGAGUUUGUUGCCCGCUGUUGCUUCUACCAAUCGAUCGAUAUGUGGUAAAGGGAAACUAUCCUUUGGACAUGCCUUGUUUAGGUCGGUAAAAUCCACGCAUACUCGCCACUUCCCGUUCUUCUUUUUGACUACUACGGGGUUGGCGAGCCAGUCCGGGUACCUUACUUCAGUUAUCGACCCAACUUUAAGAAAUUUUUCGACCUCAUCGUUUACUGCGGCAGCACGUUCGGGUCCUAGUUUCCGCCUUUUCUGUUUGACGGGUUUGAACGUUGGGUUGAUAUUCAACUCGUGACAUGUUAUGUUAAUGUCGCAGCCCAUGCGAAAGUAUUAAGGUUCUUUUUAAGACAGGUUAUGAGUUCUGUCCUUAAAGGUUCGUGGAGAUUAGCUCCAAUCUCGACGCAGCGUUCUGGGAAGGCUUCGUCGAGACAGAUCGUUACCACGGGUUCGCAUGUUGGCUCGCGUUUUUCAUCUAGAGCUGCGAUACUGCGAGACUGCCAGAAGAAUUCCGCUGAAUCCUGACUUCGCGUAUCUUUGCUGGAGGUCUUUCUCUCCGCUUUUCUAGAAGUGAUUUCGAGGAUCGGUCUCUUUCGCUUCAGUUCCGCGGCGAAACAAACCUGUGAAACUCUCGGAUUUCCCUAAAUUACCUUGACUCCGUUAGGGGUCGGGAACUUGAGGCAAAGAUGGUAGGUUGAUGGGAUUGCGCGCAUGGUGUUCAGACAUGGUGUUCCCAUGAUAACGUUGUAAGAUGCAGGACGGUCAACGACUAGAAACUCUGUGACGUUCGUCACGGUUCCGGCUUUGACAGCGAGAUUAAUCGAUCCGUAGGCCAUGGUCGUUUCCCCCGAAAGCCCCAGCAGUGGGGUUGGGCAUUUCGUGACUUCGGAUUGAUUGAUCCCCAUCUUUUUGAGAGUGUCUUUGAAGAUGAUAUCGGCCGAACUUCCGGUAUCGAUUAGCACUCUAGCGACGUCGAUAUCUCGAAUUGUCAACUCGAUAACAAGGAGGUCGUUUCGAGGUUUGGCUCGAUCGAUCGUUGCUCCCCUCUUGAAUGAGAUAACGUUCACGCAUGUCGAAUCUUGCAUACCGGUCCUGAUCGUUGAGUGGCUUUUGCGGGUUAGAUUGAUCCGUAUGUUCCCCUCCUUCUAGUGCCAAACUGUGGGAACCGAAAUUCGCACUGUCGAUUUCCGUUUAAAUAAGGAAACUAGGAAAACCCUAAUUUCCCAGAGGACCCGGAUAUCUGCUAAUUACCACACGUCAAGCAAUCAGAACACGAGAGUAACAACGAUAAAGAAUAAGAAAUUGAAAAAGAGAGCAAAGAAGAUCUUAUUCCGAAUUUGCGUAUGAGCGUUUACAACAAGGUAUAAGCCUGGGCUCGAGAGCUGUCGGCGAGAUUCCUAGUUCUAGCAACCCUAAGACGGCUAAACCUAUUUGAGUCGCAGCUCGAAAUAACAAAAACGAAAAAUUGCCUAAAUUGCUCUAAGUGCUAAGUUUGCUCUGAAAAAAAGUUCUCCCUCAUGCUCCUCGCCUAGGACUCCUUAUAUACUAGCUCCAAGGUCGGUUUACGCUUUUACUCUUCUGCCCUUAAGCCGUCAUAGCAUAAAAAUGGAGAUAUUCCAUUUUCCCGAUCUUCACAAUUAUCUUCAAAACUUCCGUAUUUAUCCGCGGAAACUUGACAUUUAUCCUUCCUUGUGGGCCAAGCGUAAACCGUGCUGCGGUUUACAGGUUUAAGGUUAGGAAAUCGUAGGAUGGGCCUCGAGUCAUGUUUUAGGUCCCUUUGGGCCGUCUUCCGACUCGACACGUUUACUACGAAUUUUCCACGGUUUCUCAUCCGCGAAGCUUGAUCGAUGAAUUGGAAUAGCGGAAAACAUGGUCUGAGCUUGCUACGGUCUUCGGGAGAUAGCGUUCGAAGAUUUGACGAGAAUGCAUGGAUUGAUGUCUGUCGAUGUCCGGAAGAGUUCAAUCGCUACACAGCGACCGAACUUCGGCUCGAGCCCGGUCGCUACGCAGCGACCGAGCAGGACGAGCGCUCGGUCGCUACGUAGCGACCGAGCUUUGGCUUCAGCUCGGUCGCUACGUAGCGACCGACCGGGACGAUCGCUUGGUCUGUACGUAGGGACCGAGCUCGGCCAAGCUCGGUCGCUACGUAGCGACCGAGUGAUCGUCCCGCUCGGUCGCUACGUAGCGACUGAGCUUUGGCUAGAGCUCGGUCGCUACGUAGCGACCGAGGGGGACGAUCACUCGGUCGCUACGUAGCGACCGAGCUUGGCCGAGCUCGGUCGCUACGUAGCGACCGAGUGGGACGAUUGCUCGGUCGGUACGUAGCGACCGAGCUUUGGCUCGAGCUCGGUCGCUACGUAGCGACCGAGCGGGAUGAUCGCUCGGUCGCUACGUAGCGACCGAGCUUGGCCGAGCUCGGUCCCUACGUAGAGACCAAGCGGGACGAUCGCUCGGUCGCUAUGUAGCGACCGAGCUUUGGCUCAAGCUCGGUCGCUACGUAGCAACCGAGCGGGAUGAUCGCUCUGUCGCUACGUAGCGACCGAGCGGGAUGAUCGCUCGAUCGCCACAUAGCGACCGAGCUUUGGCUCGAGCUUGGUCGCUACAUAGCGACCGAGCGGGCUUUUGUCGGACAUCUUGAUUCUUUCUUCCGUAAAGCUUUUUCGUAAGGAAGAAUCUAUUUCGAAAAGUACUCUUCGGAGGAAUUCUUAUUUUCUUCCUCGGACGUUUUUAAUGUUAAAUUUGUCGUAACCGUUUUUGACCCCAACAACCCCUUUUACCAGUCGCAUUUCGGACAUGAGGGUGUCCGAUCCGGGAAAAAUCAAAGUACCGAAGUACGAUGGUACGGCCGAUCCAAAAGCGCACCUUCAGGCUUUCCACAUUGCAAUGGGAAGAGCUAGACUGAAGGACGGCAAAAAGGAUGCCGGCUACUGCCGCCUGUUCGUCGAAAAUCUGGAAGGAGUGGCGCUCGAAUGGUUCGCACGCCUCCAUCGCAACACCAUCGGGAGUUUCUGACAGCUCUCAUCGGAAUUUCUCAAACAGUACUCUGUGUUCAUAGACAGAGAAACUUCCGAUGUCGAUCUCUGGAGUCUCUCCCAGAGGGAAGACGAACCCCUCCGCGAGUUUAUCAGUCGGUUCAAGCUGAUAUUGUCCAGGGUCAGCGGGAUAAGCGACAAAGUGGCCAUCGACGCGCUGAGAAAGACGCUCUGGUACUCUCGAUAAACCGUGAACGAUCCAGGAUGCCCUCCAUAAAGCAACGGACUAUAUCAUAGGCGAGGAAGAAACUAAAGUCUUAUCGCAAAAACAUAAGGCGGCAAUACCAUCCUCGAAGGACGUGGAUCCGAAGGGGAGAAAGAAGAACCCUCGUAACGACAAGUACGUCCAUCACGAGGGGGAAAAUCUCCAAGGAGCGCAUAAUUAUGCGAUCAAUUCGGAUCAAGGCCGAACCACGGGCAACACGUGGACCCGCAAUCAAGGGUAUGACGAAAACACCUUCUGUGAGUUCCACCAGUCCCGAGGACACUCUACGACCAACUGCAAAGUCUAGGGAGCAAGACUAUCCGCGAAGCUACUCGCUGGAGAGCUCUCGGAAGUAACUAGCGUCAAGGACCUCAUCCUCGAUUCUGAUCGCCCUCCAAAGAUGGAAAGAAAUCCACAACGAAACCAGCCUGGGGAUAAACGCGGUAUGAGGCCGGACGACAAGGGGAACGGAAACAAUCGUCACAGAGUCAAUAUGAUAAUCGGAGGAUCACAAUACUGCGGUGAUACUGUGUCGGCCAUCAAGGCUUAUCAACAAAAGGCAGAGUCGAGUGCAAAUUGGCCUACAUGGUCUCCUCCCCGAGAUGGCCAAAAUUGCUCGAUCACCUUCACAAAGGAGGAAGCCGGCGGCAUCGAUCAACCUCACUGUGAUCCACUCGUCAUAGAUCUCGUCAUACGAGACUAAGAAGUCGGAAGGAUACUCGUCGACACGGGAAGCACGGUCAACGUAAUCUUCCGCGACACUCUCAAGCGGAUGAGGAUCGAACUCGGAGAAGUAAUUCCGACGCGAAAACCACUCACGGGUUUUUCAGGCGAAGUAUCGAUGACUCUUGGAUCGAUCCAGCUGCCGGUCAUGGCCAAGGAGAUCACAAAAAUCGUCGAGUUCGCAGUAGUCGAUCAUCCCGCUAUCUACAACGUGAUCAUGGGAACCCCAUGGCUCAACGCCAUGCAUGCAGUUCCGUCGACCUACCACUUGGGUCUCAAAUCCCAACCCCAAUCGGAGUCGCGGCUAUCUGGGGAUGCCAAAAAUAGUCGCGGCUAUGCUUCCUCGCAGAGCACAAGUUAAGGCAAAUCACGACUUCUGCAACUGCAAACGGCAAACGCACGAAGAUAGAUCGAUCUUCGGCCAAAAACGCCCCAUGGAAAGACGAAUUAAAAUCGUCUGCCAACGCAAACGCAUCGGACGUUGAAACUCAACACCAGUCCAAAGCCGAUGCUACAACUCAACCGGAACAUCUGGAAAACAGCGUUGACCCAGCCACGAUCAACACGGUCAAGGCAGACAGCGCGACAUCUACCGCCAAGUAAAAAUGCUCGCGGCAUGAAUUAGAACUACGAGAUGGCUUGAUCCUCGAAAGGGGUACGUAGGCAGCUCGUCAAAAGACGAGUUCAGCUACCCCCUCUCUAAAAAGGGGGGGGGGAGUGGGUGCGUAUACUCGUAUACUCCCACUUAGAAAAGUCUUCAUUAUUGUAAUCGAGUUUUUAGAAACUUUGAAAACUUUUACUACAGACUAAGUUACUCCUUUUUAUCGAAAACGUUUACAUUACCGUUAAACGCAAAAACUUUCCGGACACACCUGGAAACGUUAAGACUCUUGUCUGCGGCCUCAUCCGGCCCAAAAUUGUAAAAUUAUCAUCUUUCAAACGCUCAAAAAUACACGUAUAAUCCUCGAAACAACUGCGAGACGUCGCAAAAGUUAAAAUUCGAGGAUAAUACAAACAAAUUGUCCGAACGCGACCACCAAAAAACCUUACACCCCGUUCGUCGAUUGGCCCCGACGAACACGCUAGCCGUCUUAAAAAAACGCAAUUCAAUCACUCUUUUGAUCUUCAAAAAACGUCCAACACUAGGACGAAAGCGCGCUACAACAAAAAUCCAAAAUUUUGGUUUAGCACUUCCAGUUGACUCCGAGAAGAUGCUCGAUUCGUACCAUACAAUUCAUAUAAGCCGAGAACCUAUCGCGGACUUUAAAUCGGUACGAGUCAGGAAGAAAUCGCAACAGGAAAAACAAUAGCCGGCUAGUCACCGCACAAACCUUAACCGAAAGUAAACCUAGGUCUUGCCCUAAACCCAACGCUCUGGUCUCAAACAUCUCAAGAUAUGAUAUCUAAAAGAUACGAGAUCUUAAACCAUGUCUCUCCGUUCACAUCUCAAUGUUCCCGAAUAUCGUAAAGAUAAGUAAUUUGUUACGAACAUCACGAACGAACUAACAGGUUGAACGUCUAAUCGAAAUUAAAUAUAAGACGACAACUCGUAUUUACGUCGAACCUAUUCAGGAAAACUCGAAAUGAAACAUUCAUCAUAUAUAUAAAACGCGUAAAGCGGUAAGGGAUUCAAAGCCACCAACGGCCAGUCCCGGAAAAUACAAAUCUCUUGAAAUAAAAGCCACACUCGGCCACAAACAUAAAACGGAAAGACGAACAUCUUUCUGUCGCUAACCAUUCCACCUAUCAUAGUCCAAAGUGAAAAGCCCCGGACAACGAAGCACCAAACGCAUCCGCGGGACAAUCUACUUCCUCGCCACCAUCGGGAAACCCGGUCGGAACCUCCUCGGUAUCAGGGGAAACCGGGAUGAAAUCCCAGAACCCUUGAAUCUGCUCGUCGAUCGAAGGAAUGAGCGUCUCAGCGUGGGCACGUUCGUUCAUGCCACUCUUCAUCAAGCUCAUUUCCUUCUCGAACACAUAGUCAUCGGCUUGCGUCCUCCAAAGACUUCCGACUGAACCGCGGCACUCACGGAAAUCACCCACCGAGGUAAAGGAAUUCUUGAGGUUCCCAUACUCAACCUGGAACUGAGAGGCACAAGUCUUCAUCACCUCAACGAUUUCCCUUUUGCCCUUCCUUUCCGCCUUACAGACAGCCCGUGCAUGAUCACGAGUAAGAUGUUCUUCUCGCUCCAACAUCUCGCCUUGCACGCAAGCAAGAUCUCGUUCCGCUUUCUCCGCCUUAAAACGAUAAACCAUAGCUUCCCUGGCUCGCUUCAAUGGCCGAACAAAGCAAGUUGAGGCCCUGCAAAACCAAUCAAUGCAUUAUAAGCAGAAAAAGAAAUACCUAGGCAAUCACAAAUAUUUUCAAAAUAAAAAUCAUACCCCAUUGAUGAUUCGGGAUCCUUCCGCGACAACUUUCGGCCUCGCCGACUCUUUCGCAGGUGGAGGAGCAUCGAAACCCGGUGGCAGACCAGCAAAGAAAUCAUCGAAAACCGGAAUAGGGACCUCGCUCGAGCCACUCCCGUCUCUAUAAGCAAGGUCCGGAUCCCAUCCUGGAAGCAUAGAGUCAUCCAUCGAAAAUUCUAUGUUGCCAAGGUCGAUAUCCUUUCCCUUCCAAGAGCUCGACUCCGGCACAGCUGCUGGAGCUACAACGGGAUCCUGGUCGUCAGGUUCGGAGUCGCUUCCCGUGUCCGCAACUGAAGCAGGACCAGGGUGCACGAACCUAAGUGCCUUUCAAACCCUCUUCGGCGUGAAGGAAGUCCAGAAAAAGGGACCGUUCCUAAGAAGAUCCCUCACCGCAAUGAUGUCCUCAGGGAACGGAGCAAGAGGAUUGAUGAAGGGACGAUCGUUCGGCAACCUCCAGAACAGUGGAAUGCAACUCUCUUCGACAGACGCAGCGUCUAUACAAACAAAUAAGAAAAACUUCUUCCACGAGUUGAAGUUUGAGAUGAACUUCUUAACCACUGACAUAAAAUUCCGAGGGACCAGCCUAUGCUUGUCCGUAUCUUUGACGAGCUGAAGCCUCAAAAGUUUUUCAAAAUGAUCGAUGGAAAGGGAAAGGCCAUGCUCGUAGCUUAGGAUCAAGAUCCCAAUAAGAUGCUGAAUGGCGAGGGGAGUCAACUGGCUUAUCGCAACCUCGAAACGAUCCAACACUGGGACGAUGAUUUCGGGGAUUAGGAACCACAAGCGACAACGCACUACGAACGCCUCGUAGCAAGUGAAGUAACCCUCUGGGGGAACCCGGAACUCCACGGCAUCCGGGAUGUGAUAGAACGAUCGCAUGAUCGCGAGAAACUCGUCGGUACUCCUGCUUGGAUCCUCUUUCUCGACUGCACGAUGGUUCAGGACCGGGAACGACUUCUCUUUGGGAGGAGUCAUCGAACAAUAAUGCGCAACCCAGCAUGCCUCAUUCUCGGCGAGAUGUACCGAGUGAGGUACGAACUCCAUCUUCGGAACGAUGAGCUCUUCGUAAGCACUCGCGGAUGAAGACCCUUUUUUCGCAAUCUUUUUCUUGCUCGACAUUUUACACUUCUCUUCAGAAAAUAAAGGAAAAGGGUGGAAAGAAAGAAAGAAAAUUUUUCUUAAGAAAGAUCUUAGAGAACACAAGAAAGUGAAAAAAUUAUGAAACAAGUUACCUCCCUUUUUAUAGGCAUGAGAAUUUACUAUUCAAGCUCGGACUUUCGGAUAUUAAUUCCAUCCAACACGCCUAACUUGCCAAACAUGCCUAACCGCAAGCUAGGACCCUGCGAUGCAUGGUCCUAACGGGCUGGGGGGCUAACUGUUGGGGUUAAAAACAGUUACGACGGAAUUAUCACCCGAAAACCCUCGGAAAUCACAUUUUCGAAAGAGAUAGUAAAAAGAAAGAUAUAAUUUUCGUAAAAAUAACCGAUACGAAGUUUUUACGAAGAAGUAUCCUUGAAGAUUCAAAGCAAAUGAACCAAGCUCGGUCGUUGCGUAACUACCGCACAUACACGCUCACCGGUCGCUACGUAGCAACCAAGUCCGAUCCGAUGUCGGUCGCUAUGUAGCGACCGAACAUCCUCCCGCUCGGUCGCUACGUAGCGACCGAGCGCUCGUCCCGCUCGGUCGCUACGUAGCGACCGAGCGUUCGUCCCGCUCGGUCGCUAUGUAGCGACCGAGCUUGAGCCGAAGAUCGGUUGCUACGUAGCGACCGAGCGUCCGUUUCGCUCGGUCGCUAUGCAGCGACCUCGAGCCGAAGCUCGGUCGCUACGUAGGGACCGAGCGCUCGUUCCGCUCGGUCGCUAUGCAGCGACUGGGCUCGAGCCAAAGUUCGGUUGCUGUGAAGCAAUCGAGCUCUUCCGAAAUGUCGAUACGACACCAGUCCAUGCACUCUCGUCGAACCUUCAAAUGCUAUCUCCCGAAGACCGUAGCAAGCUCGGUCUAUGUUUUCCGUUAUUCUAAAUCAUCGAUCAAGCUUUGCGGAUUAAAAACCGCGGAAAGGUCGUUCUUUAUCGAAAGAUAUCGCAGUAAACGUGUCGAGUCGGAAGACGGCCCAAAGGGACCUAAAACACGACUUGAGGCCCAUCCUACGAUUUCUUAACCAAUAGCCCGUAAACCACAGCACGGUUUACGCUUGGUCCACAAGGAACGAUAAAUAUCAAGUUUCCACGGAUAAAUACAGAAGUUUUGAAGACAAUUGUGAAGAUCGGGAAAAUGGAAUUUCUCCAUUUUUAUGCUAUGACGGCUUAAAGGCAGAAGAGUAAAAGCGUAAACCGACGUUGGAGCUAGUAUAUAAGGAGUCCUAGGCGAGGAGCAUAGGGGGAGAACUUUUUCAGAGAAAUUUAGGCAUUUUUCCGUUUUUGUUAUUUCGAGCUGCGACUCAAUUAUGUUUAGGCGUCUUAGGGUUGGUAGAACUAGGAAUCUCGCCGACAGCUCUCGAGCCCAGGCUUAUACCUUGUUGUAAACGCUCAUACGCAAAUUCGGAAUAAGAUCUUCUUUGCUCUCUUUUUCGAUUUCUUAUCUUUAUCGUUGUUAUUCUCGUGUUCUGUUUGCUUGACGUGUGGUAAUUAACAGAUAUCCGGGUCCUCUGGGAAAUUAGGGUUUUCCUAGUUUCCUUAUUUAAACGGAAAUCGACAGUGCAAAUUUCGGUUCCCACAACCAUGAACUAAGAUCGUACCGUCCUUGGCGAUUUGAUACUCAGUCAGGUCGUUCCGAGCAACCAUCUUCAGGUUCUCAUCCUGAUCUUGGGCCGCUCGGAUCCGGGUAAGCAGGUCGGCUGUAUUCACCACCUCUAAACCGCAUGGUCCAUCCGUUCUGUUCAAAGCAUUUAAACGAACGAAGCGUUCCAACUUAUCCGGCUCGUCCGUUCCGCUUCCGACCGCGACGUCUUCUCGCUUUUCCGGCUCAAGGCGUCGCCCACAAGGUUAGCCUUGCUGGGAUAGUAAGUGAUGUCUAGGUCGUAGUCGGCCACGAACUCCAUCCACCUCCUCUGCCUUAAGUUUAACUCAGGUUGGGUGAAUAUAUACUUCAGACUUUUAUGGUCCGUAAGUAUCUGGACUUUGGCCCCAUAUAAAUAUGAUCGCCAAAUCGUUAAGGCGAAUACUACCGCAUCCAUUUCAAGAUCAUGGGUGGGGUAGUUUCCCUCAUGUUUCUUCAGCUGCCUUGACGCGUAGGCAAUGACCUUCCCAUGUUGAGUCAACACGCAACCGAGUCCAGUGAUGGACGCAUCCGUGUAGACCACAUAAGGUUGGUCUGCCUCCAGAAGAACCAGGACAGGUGCACUAGUCAGCAUAUCCUUAAGUGCGGAGAACCAUCUCGUACCCUCAUCAGACCAUGUGAACUUAACGUCUUUCCCAGUCAACCGUGUCAUAGGUUGAGCCAAGCUUGCAAAUCCCUUCACAAACUUCCUAUAGUAACCUGCCAGCCCUAGGAAGCUUCUAACUUCCGUGGCACUGCGUGGUCGGGGCCAAUCCUUGAUUGCCCUGAUCUUCUUUGGAUCCACUGAGACGCCCUGGUCAGAAACAAUAUGACAAGGAACCCAAUACUCUUUUGCCAAAAACUGCACUUGCUGAGUUUAGCAAAAAGUUUGUGCUCUCGUAAUCGUUCCAGCACGGCUCUCAAAUGUUUCCAAUGAGAUUCCUCUUCCUUGGAGUAGAUCAGGAUAUCAUCAAUGAAGAUGAUCACUUAUUCAUCCAAGAAGUCCCGGAACACGCUGUUCGUCAUUUUCAUGAAUGCAGCAGGUGCAUUGGUCAGACCGAACAGCAUCACUACGAACUCGUAAUGGCUGUACCUGGUCCUGAAUGUUGUCUUCCUAAUGUCAUUUGGCUCUAUAGGAAUCUGAUGAUAUCCCGAGGCCAAGUCGAUUUUAGAAAACCACUUAGCUCCUUUCAGCUGAUCCAACAGCUCGUCUAUCUUGGGUAACGGGUAUUUGUUCUUCAUAGUUACCCUGUUCAACCCUCGAUAGUCGAUGCACAGACGCAUGCUACCAUCCUUCUUUUUCACAAUGAAGACUGGUGCACCCCAAGGGGAGCUACUUGGCUGUAUGAACCCCUUGUCAAGCAAUUCUUCCAAUUGCUGCUUUAGCUCGGCCAUCUCGGCCGGAGCCAUUCGAUACAGACUCUUGGACAGCGGAGCUGUCCUCGGUUCCAGUUCAAUCAGAAAGGGAUCAGACCUAUCCAGGGGGACACCCUGUAGCGCCUGAAACACAUCCUGGAACUCGGACACCAAAGAAUCCUCGCGUGGGUCUAACAGAAAACCAGAAGUCUCAGCCUCUAUAGUUGUAAUUGUAGCCAAGAAUGACUGACAACCCUGUUCCAGCAUCCGAAUCGCUCAAACUGCUGAAACCACUACUCUCUCUUGAGCCUGACACAGACCUUGGUACUCUACCGGGUGAAGUCCAUUCUCCAAUUGCACACGACUCUUAUGGCAAUCGAGAGUGGCUCGGUACUUUCCCAACCAAUCUAUACCUAAGAUCACUUCUUGAUUCUUUAGGUGGACACAUACCAGAUUCACAGGGAAGACCUUUCCCUGGAUCUGUACUGGGACAUUCGACAUGAGACCUAGUGAGUUCAUGGCUUGCCCACCGGCCGCCCUCACUAUCCCAAAAUUAUCACCAAUAUCCUGAUAGAACAGACCCUUUCCGACCAGUCCCGGACUCACAAAACUAUGUGUAGCCCCGUGUCGAAAAUCACGUGGGUUUUUACCCCACCGACCAUGAGGGUUCCUAUUAGAGACCCUCAUCAGAAUCCCCUAGACCAUUCUAGGUUCCAGACCAAGCAUUACUACUUGAAUGUAAAAAGAUAAAUUUAGAAAUUACCAGAGAUCGAAUCAAAAGAUCCGGAAGCUCCGUCGUCUCAUGACAGUUUAUACACCCUCGGUGCUGUGGUUGGUUUGCCUUGGGACGCCUUGCCUGAGUCUCCACGGCCCUUCCCCUAACUUCCUUGCAGCUUGGGACACUCCGAUUGGAAAUGUCCUUUCUGGCCACAAUGGAAACAAGUCAUCGUGCCACUUCUACCAGACGGGUUCAGUCGAGGACAGUUUUGAACCACAUGGUCCAUCCUGCCAAAACGAACACAAGCCCCCAUGGCCUUCCAGCACUCACCGGGAUGGUUCCGUCCACAUUUGGAACACGCAGGUCGGCCACCAGAGGUCCUACCUCCGUCCACCUGGUCCCAUUUUCUCUAUUUAUCAUUAGUCUUGCCCAAUGGGCCAGACUGUGGCUUAGCCUUAAGCUUAGCUUCUUCAGCAGAGUUAGACUCCAAUAAAGCCACCCGUUCCACCAGUUCUCCGACGGUGUUGAAAGUGCGGAUGGAGCAGUGGGUCUUCAGUUCCGGCCUUAGGCCUCAGAUGAACCUACGGACCUGGACUGACUCGUCCUCCAGCUCUCUUCCAACGAACCGUCUGAGUCGGUUGAACUCUUCUUCGUACUUCCGUACGGUCCUGCGGCCUUGGACCAAAUCUGGAAACUUAGCUUCCAGACAAUCCCAAGCCUCAGCAAGAAAGUAUUUGCGGUUGAAUUCAACUUCAAAAUCCGCAAAACUUGUGAGACUUCCAUUGGUGCGCUUGUCCACUAAAAGCCACCAAUUAUGCGCGUCCCCUUCCAGGAAGUGAACCGCAAUGUCUCGCCUAUAAUCCUCUGGACAGCGAGUUGAUUGGAAGUUUUGGACCAGCCUACUCCUCCACUCUUCUGCCACCACUGGUGGAUCGAUCUUGAUCACCUCAACCGCGUCCACAGCUGGACCCGUAGCAAUAGGUGUAGCCGUAGCUACAGGUGUAGCUUGACCAACUGAUGAAUUCACUAGUGGAGUGAACAGCUGAGUCAUAGCCGCCACCUAGUUACCCAUUACUUUCACGGCCUCUAACAAGUCCUCUCGGGACAGUGCUGCGGGCACGUUGGCCGUUCCCUCGGCCCUUUGCUCAAGCUGGUUACCAUCACAGUUAGCGUACGAGGAUUCUACUUCCUCGUCACAUUCCUGAUGUUGCCGACCUUCUGGUUGCGUUCCUGUAAGAUUGGCCUGGUCAGUCGGUAACACAUCCCCGGUGUUAGUCGCAGCCGGCUCUGUUGGUAACCCGGACAGAUUAGCUCCGUCCGCGGCCGCUUGACUUGACUGACUGGCCGGUUUCUUACUCCUUCGGGUCUUUCAUGAUUUGCUUUUCCCAGCCUAGGGAUUCAGACAUUGUUAGUACAACAUACACAUAACAUAACCGAGACAAUUAAUCCCUAGACCUAACUAUAAAACCUCACCAUGAGACUGAAUCUGCUGGCUGCGUGUGUCUGGACUACAUAACCCAACUAUCCUAGAAUCAAGCAUGCUGUGAUACCAACUUGUAACGCCUGAAUCCGGCCUCUUGAACGAAACUGGACCCGUUUGCUACUUAAUCAAUUUCUUUGCUUGUUUGAUUCAUUUUAAGUCUUUCCUUUACUAAGUCAUGUUCGAAUCUAAGGUUCUAAAACAAAUGAACAGAUAGCACAACAGAAUAUAAAUGUGUAUAAAAUGUAUAACAUAGAAACAUGAGAUCCGAUACACAACUUCUUAAUCGUUUCAUAGACAAUCACUAGUUCAUCCCUGACAUCAUCUAACCACACGUUACACAGCCUCUCACUGACCGAGCCUUCACGGCUCCUUGGCUUGACCAGAACCAUCCUUAGUUCCUGAAACCACAAACAGAUAAGCAUUAAUCAUAACCGAGAAUAGAACUGGUCGAUUCUACAAUACUUGGCUUGGUUCCUAGAACAUAGAUAAACCUCGGACAAUAUACUUAUAAAAAGAUAUGAACCUGCCUACCGAAUCCUAAGUCAUUCAACCAACUACCCCUUGACUUAGAAUCAGAUAGACAGUCCAGAAUAGAUAAACAGAACACACGAACAGUCCGGAUCGUCCCAAAGACCAAUCCGUCCAUCCGGAUAGAAUCUAGGUGCGACCGGCCUAGAUGAAGUCCGGCUCAAUGGCCCAACGGACUUCCUUACCUGAUCCGGCCUUGGGCCUGGAUCCAACGGCCGAGUAAGCCUCACGCCCAAUCCGGUUAGGCCAAACAGCCGAUAGGACCUUCCGCCUCUUACCCUGGCUUAGUCGAACCGUUGUACUUAUCUCGACGGACAAGACAUGGUCUGAUCCCUAAGGAACGGACACUACCUGUCUCAACAGGCACCGUUUGGAACAUGCACCCCUUCAAUCCUUGGUACCUCUUGGUCCAGGUACCUCUUGGUUCUCGUACCUCUUUGCGUCCGUAACCCUUGGUUACUUACACCCUUUGGCAACGCACAACCAUUGGAACUCGUGACCUUUGGUAACUCACAACCCUUGGUAACUCGUGACCUUUGGCCACUCGUGCCUCUUGGGACAUGACCAACCGUUUAGCCCAACUGCCCAGUCUAUGGUGCGGUUCGAACCGACCGUCUAACCGAUAAGCGUCUAGGUUAGCGGUUUGGUUAUGACCGGCCAAGUCUAGGAACGUGUCCCUUGGACUGAACCAACACAACCCUUCGUGUAUAAUCAGAAAGAAGAGAAAGGGGCCGGAUAGCAACAAGAAGAGGAGAAGCGGUUAGGUCUAAUGGACCGACCAGAGCCGCGGUGCGAUCACAAGGACCGUCUGAUGGAGCCAUAGCCCACCACGUACCUUCUGAACCAUGUCAGGGUUCUCCAUGCUCUUCUCCUGCUCUCGCUCUCCCAUACUUGAUUGGAGGUUGCUUCACUAACGAUCAGAUCGCCGGAAACCUAACCACCACACAAUCGGCCUUGCUUUGGCCGGAAACUCUCUCUCUCUCUUUCUUUCUCUCUAUCUACGAUUUCUCUGAGUAUUUUACUCUGGAAUUGGAUGAUUGAAAUCAACAGAGAGGACCCCAUAUAUAUAGAAAACGAGGGGGUAAUUCUUUCCCCACGAACAGGCAUGACUGGCCAGCGGAUGGGCACAAUCGGCCAAGGGUUACACCCUCUCGGCCGCAUGCAUCCCUUCGCCAAUACCGCAUGGGUAUGGGUCGGACAAAGGCCCAAGGCCUUACCCAAUCCCUCUGGACUUAGCCCACGGCCUUGUCCCAAGCCCCAACGGUCCAUGGCCUCAUGGCCGGACCACCAUGGCCUGCCACCGGCCCGGACCCGGACCAUCUGGCGAAACCCGAAAAGUCCGUCCAGUUGAGAUGAGCUGACUCCCAGCUGCCUCAGCUGAGUGAGCUAUCGAUCCCUCCAGCUACCGUCUUACUCGUCCUAGCUGACUCUCGACUUGUAUAAGGUUAAGUCUAAGUUUCCUUACGUCCUUAACCUUCUUAUCUGCCCAACUGCUCGUUAACCUAGAACCCACAAAGGGUGUUAGUCGAUUAAGACUGCAGGACGGUGAUCAUGGAAGUUGAAAUCCGCUAAGGAGUGUGUAACAACUCACGUGCCGAAUCAACUAGCCCCGAAAAUGGAUGGCGCUGAAGCGUGCGACCUAUACCCGGCCGUCGGGGCAAGAGCCAGGCUUCGAUGAGUAGGAGGGCGCGGCGGUCGCUGCAAAACCUAGGGCGCGAGCCCAGGUGGAGCGGCCGUCGGUGCAGAUCUUGGUGGUUAGCAAAUAUUCAAAUGAGAACUUUUAAGGCCGAAGAGGGGAAAUGUUCCAUGUGAACGGCACUUGCACAUGGGUUAGUCGAUCCUAAGAGUUGGGGGAAACCCGUCUGAUAGCGCUUAUGCAUGAACUUUGAAAGUGGAUCCGGUUAAAAUUCCGGAACCGGGACGUGGCGGUUGCCGGCAACGUUAGGGAGUCCAGAGACGUCAGCGGGAAUUCCGGAAAUGUUAUAAAUCAUGGAGUGGAUUGCCAUUAACCAAGACAAGAAGAGAAGGCCCAUCAGCCAUGAUCAGGCCCAGCGGCGGCCGCGACUUAAGGAGAGGGAGAUAGGCAGCCACAAGCAUGGAGAAAAGGAAACCCCUUUCCUUUUCCUAGUAGAUGUAAUCUUUCCAUUUAUGUAUUUAGUAAUUAUCCUAAAUCUAGUUAGAUUAGGAUUUGUAUACUUUCCUUUUAUCUCUAUCUUGUAAUCCUUAUAUAAGGAACCCCCAUUAUCAUUAAUAAUAACACAGAAAUAUUCAGUCUCUAAACUCUCGUAUUACAACACGUUAUCAGCACGAUAGACUCCAAAACCCUGAGACAAAACCCUAACCUAAAAUCCGUCACACAUAAACCCUAAAUCCGGCGCAACUUAAAAUGGAUCGAUCUCUCAAACCCUGCGGAACCAGACGAUGAUCAACAUACCAUCUUGAAGCCCUUGACGAGACGAAUCCAUCAGCGCAAAAAUUUCAUAUAUCCGAUCUCAGACCCGCCCUCACGCUCAGUUACAAAGACCUUAAGCGAACCCUAAUCCUGAAGAACCCUAAAUUGUUCUUGCUUGCGUUCCGGCUUGCAAACAUCCGAUCAGCUAAAGACCUUAAGCGUUCCUGAUCCUAGACAUCCGCAGCUCCCUGUUCACAACAGAGCCAGCCCACAUUCGCAUCAUAGCCAGCUCGUAAUCCUGCUCAGCUGCUCACGAACUCGACAAGAAGAAGACGUGUCCGUUCCAGCUUAGAUCACGUCCGACGUUCUCAGCACACAUCCGCGACCAGACGCAAAACCAAUCCAGACAGCUCGCAUCCGUCCUCAACUCGCGUACCAAUAGGAGCCAGUGUCCGUCCGUGUGCAACUAGAGGUUCAUCUGUUCUCACUUGUUUGUCCAUUUCAACCCUACAAAAGAAAGGUAUACCGAUUAAUCUGAGAACAUAGUGAUCAAACCUAAAACCUAAAGAUCUUGAUCAAAACCCUAAAAUUGAUAUAACAUAAAAGCAACAAUCUCAUAACUAGCAAUUGAAUCGAUUCCAACUAGAACAUGUUUGAUUGUUUAUUUGUUUCUAAUCUGAAGUUAUGAAACCUUAAUAUUGGAAUCAAAACCCUAAAACCCUAGAAGCUUGAAUUUGAUUUUAAUGGUUCUUGUUUUGAUUGAAUGAUUGAUCUGAGAUUUUUGGAUUAUUAAAUUGAUUGAUAAAUCUAAUUCAAAAUCCUUAAGGCCUUGAAACCCUUAAUCUCAUUUAUAUUCCUAAAGGCCUUGAAAACCUUAAAUUUCACAUUAAUUGAAUGAGAGUUAGGUUGCUAGAUUACUUGAUUCUAAAAUCAAGUUAAACAUUACCAACCUUGAAAUUGGUAAAACCUAAUAGAUAUGCAACUAAAUAAUAAAGAUUGAAUACAUCUAGAUUGAUCAUCUCAUUACUAUGUGGCCGUGUGGCCUUGCUUGAUAAUAUUGACUUGCAUUGUUUAAAUCAUGAGAUUGAAAGCCGUUUGGCUUAAUGCAUAUCUAUGUGGCCGUGUGGCCUAGCAUCCGGAUGGUCAUAUGACCCGGAUUGCAUUAUGAUCCGAUCCUUAAGAUCGUUGUAUCACAUAAUGGCCGAGAGGUCUAAGCAUCACAAUACAUGACCGUGUGGUCCAAGUGUCAUAGAGAGACUUAUGAAAUCAUAUGCACUGAUUAUUUGAAUUGGUUGCAAGAAUUCUAAAGCAAGAAUUGAAUUGAUUAAUGAUUUCAGAUGCCGAGAUUUGAGCCCAUGGAUUAUGCCAUUCUAAAUCUCUCUGGAGAAAAUUAUCUAGAAUGGGCAAUGAACACUUCAGUUAUCCUGAAAUCGAGAGGACUCGGAAGGAGUAUCAUUCAGGAUGAUUAUGCAACUAGAAGUGAAAAGUUAAGAGCCAUUACAAUAAUGCGCCAUCAUGUCACUGAGGAACUGAGAAAUCAGUAUCUACACAUUGAGAAUCCUCGUGACCUUUGGACAGAAUUAAAGUCCAGAUACACUAUAGUGUUAUUACCAAAGGUCAGACAUGAAUGGACGAGUCUCAGAUACCAAGACUUUGAGUCUGUGGAUGAAUAUCACUUUGCUUUGUCCUAAGUCGUUUACAAACUGAGAGUAUGUGGUGAAAUGGUAACAGAGGAGGAUUUACUGGAAAAGACCUUCCUCACAGCUGAUCCAAGAGAUCUAUAGUUACAACAUACCUAUAGAGAAAAAGGUUUCACCUAUAAUGAUCUGCUCUCAUACCUAUUACUAACUGAGCAGAGUAAUAAGAUGCUAAAGAAAAGCAGUGAGAUGAAAUAUCCUGAGGCAAUGGAUCAAGAUGAAUCCAAGGCAGCCGUGUCCCAAUGUGACUGAUGAUGUGGCCGGCUUAUCCAUUAACUAAAGAAAGAUCUAGACAUUUUAUUAAGUCCUUGAUUUGUGAUUUGCUUUAAACUAAGUGUCAUUCACGAUUUUAUAUAUAUAAUAGAAUUGGUUUUGAUUUCAUUAUAUCUUGCCUGAUCUUACUUAAGCAUAUGAAUGUUAUUGAUAAAGAAUUGCCUAAAGGGCAUAAUACCAAGUAAGAAAUCGUGAAAUGGGGUAUAGUAAGCAUAGUAAGAAAACUAUGGCCAAGGCAUUGCCUAAAAGAAGCAUUAUAUACACCCAAAGAAUGUAUGACCCAUUGAGUUAUAAAUGGUUUCCAAAUAGAAACAAUGGGCAAGAAGGAAACAAGUUCCUUCAGUUUUAAAGAAAAAAUGCCUAAGACCUUAUAAGAAAGUGGUCGAGACUAUACCUAUGAUCUCUACUGAUUUAAAUCUAUGCUACAGAUCAGUAUGAUAAGAGGCAAGAGAAGUGGUAACUAUACUGAUAUAUCCCACGAAAUUAUACACUAUAUGGAAUGAUAGGAUUAGCCAUCCUAGUCUAAACUUGAUGCAAAGAUUGGUAUUGAAAAGGAACAAAGAGUUAUCCCGUAAAGAUCUCACGUUGUGAAACAUGUACACAAAAGGAAACUCAUUAAGGCUUUAUUUGUCCUAAGCACCACGAAAUUAUAGUGUAUUCAUGAGGGGGAGAGAGGAUAAACCCGUGAUCCAUGAUCACACAUGAUCAACACUACAAAUUCGUGAAGCAUGGUAUAGAACCAUGUUAUUCACGGCUUGGCCGUGACUUGGCCGUAUAGUGCAGGCUUGGCCGCACACAGUCCAUUACUCGGCCAAAAAGGCCAUUACUCGGCCGAAGAGAGGCCAUCACAUAUAAAUGAUCGGCCAUGAAAGCCAUUAUCUAUAAGACUAAGAUUCUAAAGUCUAUAAGCUUGGGGACAUUAUGAAUUUACAUGUAUAGGAUGAUAAUAUGCAUCAGGCCAUAUAAGUGAGCAUAUAUAUUCCCAUCAUAAGAAUGAAUACGGGUCAUAAAUCAGACAUACACCAUCUUAAAAGACUUUGAAUAAACCACGACAUACAUAUGUGUGCCGACUAAGAUGGAACCUCAGAAGAGGAUUGGGAAAAUAUAAGAAUAAGACUUUCUCCACGAAAUCAAAAGGACCAUCAGCCAAAACAUGGGUGAUCAAAAUAGUGCCCAGGUACGGAUUGCAUGAAACAAUUGAAUCCGGAUAUUCAAUAUUAAAGGAGAAAGAUUUUAAGCUGGAUAGAGAAAGAUUAAAGAAUAAAAGAAUGAUAAGAAUGGUUUUAACCAUCAUUGUCUUGGCAAAGAUCCUCGGACUAGAGAAUAAGAUUUAAGACGUCCAAAGAAAGAUUAUACAAAGCUAUUGAGAAGCUAAUAUAGAUGCCAGACACUGACCCGAGAAGAGAAAAGGAAUGAUUAACCAGCUUAGCACCAAAAACGAAAUCUAAAGUCCUAGAAGAGACAUAGUCAAGUUGCUAUAGAGUCUAUACAAGAUAGACCAAGUGUUCCAUAAGAUAAAGGAAUCUCGGAUAGAAAAUAAUGGUGCAUAGAAUACAGAUCCGAGGUUAUAAGAGAAACCAUACCAGACAUAGAGAAAAGGUUGCGCAGCUAAACAUCUAAGGUACCAAACCAUGUAGUCUUGGGACGCCAAGCUACUAGGUAACUAAGGUCCUAGAUAAUGAAAUCUCAAAUUGAUCAAAUCAUGUCUGAAACAUAAUGGAACCACACAAAGAGUGUUGACACAUAAACCUCUAUAAAGGAUACAUAAAGUUAUAGCACUUGAGUUUAAAGUAAAGAGAUAAGCGAGGAUCAUGAACCCACGAAUGAGUACUCAUACAAUCAUAAAAGAUUAGAAAGAUAAACGUGGAGGUUCAAGGUAUCUAAAAGAGAGAUGGGCGUAUUGGCCAUAUACAUAUACAGAAAAUGCCAUCUGAUAAACUAGUGAAAUAGAUGGAUCUUGUGAGAAGAAAAGAAACCGUGAGAGAUGUAAAGGUGUUCAUGUUUUCCUACUAACAGCAUUAGAUUAUAGCUUGUUACACUAGGUACUCACAGAGAUCAAAGGAACAGAUUAUAAAGGAGAUAAACUCCUAUGUGUUUGUUGCUGCUACAGAUUUUCGAAAUUGACAAUAGUCUGGUCAUAAGAAAGAAAAUAGAUACAAAGAUGUAGUAAGCAGCAUAUGGAUCACUGGAUGAAAGAACAGCAUUGUUCCUAAACUGAUUCAUGGACUGAAGCAAAAGAAGCUGCAUAUAGUAUGUAAAAGAAAUUGAUCACCCAUGAUCUUGAUCUUGAUCUUGGAGUUGUAUAAAAGACAAUCCAAUAACAGUCCAUAUACAUUUGAAAUCCCUUGUGUUUGUACUAAACCUAAAAGAGGUUAGUAGACAUAGAAUAAAUCUAUGUGAGUGUUCGACCAAAAGUGUCCGGCCUCUUUCUUCUUGAUCACGGGCUAAUAGAAAGAUCAACCAUCAGGUUGCAAUCCGACAUCAGAUCCCUUAAGGAUCCGGCAUAGCAUAAUAGUUUACUGCUGCUGAUGACUUACUCCCACAAGGCUUUGUAGUGAGAUUAAGAGGAGAUAUAUAAUCUGUCAGAUACCAAAGAAGUUGUAGUCCAUAAGCUCGUGAAAGUCGAAGAUCCAUGACCUAAUAAUGUAUACUUAGCGUGUGAUAUUAUCCACAGCAACUAAGGUCACGAGAAGCCAUCUUCAUAUAUUAAGAUAGGGAUUCAAAAGAAUAAUGAAUAAGGCAUUACCUAAGGCAAAGAAAUCAAUGUCCACAUCCAUGAGAGUGUUCGGCCACAGAGCCAUAAUAAGAGAUUAUAGAACUCACAGCAAUGAUCAUUAAUCUUGAACACUCAUGAGACAAGUAGUGGACACGUAUGGACGAGGUCUAUGACCCGAACAUGGAUCGGCCAGAUUGAAACAUGGUCGAAUGGUAAAUAUAAAUAGCCAAAUUAAAGAGUUGACAGUAGACAAUCACGUCUAGAUCAUGAACACAUGCAAACACGAUUUUGCAUAGACCCAAUAGUGAUCUCCGAGGAAAAUGUGGUUCACAUUGUUUAGCACACAUGCUUUACCGGGACACUCGAUGUCAAAAGACAUGGGAAACGAUCUAAGAGGUCGAAGUGGUCUAGUUACGGCUUAGUAAUGAACUUAGCCAAUGACUCCCUUCCUACAUAUACAGGAAAGAUCACGCACUAGAUGCGUAGAAUGUAGAACCUA
rnacentral:lncRNA from 1 species